rnacentral:rRNA from 1 species
GAUGAACGCUGGCGGCGUGCCUAAUACAUGCAAGUCGAGCGAACAGACGAGGAGCUUGCUCCUCUGACGUUAGCGGCGGACGGGUGAGUAACACGUGGAUAACUUACCUAUAAGACUGGGAUAACUUCGGGAAACCGGAGCUAAUACCGGAUAAUAUAUUGAACCGCAUGGUUCAAUAGUGAAAGACGGUUUUGCUGUCACUUAUAGAUGGAUCCGCGCCGCAUUAGCUAGUUGGUAAGGUAACGGCUUACCAAGGCAACGAUGCGUAGCCGACCUGAGAGGGUGAUCGGCCACACUGGAACUGAGACGCGGUCCAGACUCCUACGGGAGGCAGCAGUAGGGAAUCUUCCGCAAUGGGCGAAAGCCUGACGGAGCAACGCCGCGUGAGUGAUGAAGGUCUUCGGAUCGUAAAACUCUGUUAUUAGGGAAGAACAAAUGUGUAAGUAACUAUGCACGUCUUGACGGUACCUAAUCAGAAAGCCACGGCUAACUACGUG